CACGAACCGUACGAACGUUAUUCGGAAUUACUGGGCUUAAAGGGGUUGUAGGCGGCCAUGUAAGUCAGGGGUGAAAUCCCUCGGCUCAACCGAGGAACGGCGCUUGAUACUGCAUGGCUUGAGGGAGACAGGGGUAAGCGGAACUGAUGGUGGAGCGGUGAAAUGCGUUGAUAUCAUCAGGAACACCGGUGGCGAAAGCGGCUUACUGGGUCUCUUCUGACGCUGAGGAACGAAAGCUAGGGUAGCGAACGGG
rnacentral:rRNA from 1 species